rnacentral:lncRNA from 1 species
AUAAAGUCAAAAUAAGAAUAUAUACAACUAGAAAAACUAAAAUAUUAGUCAACAAAAGAAACGAUACACAAGUUUGAACUAAAAUUUAUCCUUAAAUACAAUAAAUAGGAUAAACUGUAAAAUUAUCCAAUGAAAAACAUUCAUUUACAAAGCAAAUGCAUUUGGUAAAAAGGGUUUUACCAAUUAACCUGGAAAGUUAGAGAAUAUUGAGUUAUUGGACACAGCUAGGGGUCAAAUUUGUUUUGCGGAAAAUGAUGUAAAGGUCGGCACUUAAUUUCGAAGAUGAGAAUUAAGUAUUCAAAUAUCUGCAUAGGCAUUUCAUAUUUUAUGUAGACCAUGUUGAAGUUAAAAAGUUUUUAGUUCUAGCAUCGAUUUUGGAAUUUUUAUAGUGAAAAUUCGAUUUUUGAAAUAAAAAAAAAAUCCGAAAUGUUUUAAUCCUUUUUGUCUUAUAUCAAUGGUUUUGAUCGGAAAAUAACACUCUGUAAAUAAUAUACCAAUAGGGCAAUUAUUAACCUCGGUACAGCGUGUUCAAUUUCAUUAUACAUUUGUAUAUGGUCCGAGUACACAGUUAUCGUCCUUUGAUUUUCGUUGUCCACGAAUAUAGUCCUUAGUGUGGACAGUGUGUUACUUGCCAAUUUUUGUUAUACCCCUUCCAAAUUUAUUUCUCCAUGUUUUAUGCCUCAUAUAGCAAGUUGGGGGGUGAAAUGACACUGUAAAAAAAGUUAGGUCAUAAAUAUUAAUGCAAAGUAGUGAUUAGGUCCAGCUGAAAAAGGUCAAAAAUUAGCACUUCGGAAGCUGUCAAAAGAUUUCAAGACCCCCUUAACAUAAGAUUGUUCAUAUUUUGAGUUAGAGCUGAUGAAGUUUUCUAUAAUUUUGAUAUAAUUUGUCCCAAAAGUAGUACAACACACUGUAAAAAUAUUAUUGAGAAAGCGCAGGUGGGAUUUUUUUAAUUUUCAUUUAUUGUCUAAAAGAAAUGCACUACGAAAUAACUGUGUACUCGGACCAUAUGGAAAAUGCAUUGCCUUGUAUUGUUUCUUUUAUAGACUAGAUAUAUAAACGUAUAUACAAUCAUUUAAUUACAGUAAAUAGUGUACACAGUACCAUAUUAUGACUUCUUUUUAUAGCAACUUUACCUGACCAUAUAGGAAAAUAGGUAUUUAGUCGGAUUUUAACACGUACUUGUGAUUUGGUUAAAACCGGUUUUGUAAAAAAAUAUACGAAGAAAUGUCGCAAUGUUCAGGACUUACUUAAAUCCGUAUUUCGGUAGGAUGGUGCAAGCAUACGAUUUUUAUUGCGUCUUACACUUUGAGAAGCGAAUAAUUUUCAACUACUUUAUUCAAAUAUUGUGUAAAAACGUCAAUUUUGAGCUAUGAAAGUCAAGUGGCUCUAGUAUUUUUCUGAGGAAGUUUUAAAAAAUUGCAAAGAAAUAUUUUUACAUUGGGUUAGCUUUCAUUAGUCUUAACUAUCUAUAGAUUAACAACUUUUGGUUAUAUUUAUAAUUUAGAAUCAUCAUUGAAGGUGGGGGACGAUUUCGCAGAUAAUUAAUUAUAUUGAUGUGCCAUUUGUAUGCAAGAAUGACAUUUCGUUGUAUUAUGUGCCAAUUCGAAAAAGUUAUGCGAGUAUUCUCUCCCCUUAACAGGUUCAUUAUUUUAUAAUUAAGUUUAGGUUUCUGAUAUAAUUUUGAAUAAUUACAAAAUGUAUCAAUUCAAUAUAUUUCAGUUUUUGUUAUUGGUGUAUCAAAAACAUUGAUAUACGAAUAUAAUUUCAUAAAUUUGAAACGUUUAAAAUGAUUACAUACCAAUAUAAAGAACCGUUCAUCAUUUUUGAAAAAGACUAUGAACGAAAAUCUAUUAAUUUAUCUUCCCUUGGUGACAGAUUGAUUUGGAAAUGAACCAGCGUAAUAUAAUGGUGAUCACAGAGAGGGACCAGCAAGCAAUUUUUAAUUGUAGCUUAUUCAACGUUAAAACAAUUUUCCACUAUAAACGAAUGUUACUUUAUACAAAUAUAAGGACUUUGUUAGCUAAAUCUACAAAUUUUAUUAGAUAUUAUGAUUUUUUAUUGCAAUAGAUUAAUAUGCUAUAAUAAAAGUUUUUAUGUAGGACCCCAAUAUAAUAUAUACCUGUGCACCUUUUGGUCAUCAACCAAAUCUUGAACAGAAAUGAUAUGAAAAUUUGAUUACGAUAGUUGAUUAAUCCCUUUUUCUGUCGUUUUCGAUACAACAAAACACUAACUGACUAGAUAUUCGUGGGAUGGUAAGUUUAUUGUCCCUUGGGAUACAACUAUUGCCCUCGGCUACGAAUCAGGACAGUAGUUGCACCUCGGGUGACAAUAAACUUACUAUUCCACUCAUACCCAGUCAAUAAGUAUAAAUUGUAUCAUAUCAUCAAAACACCGCGCCGUGUUAUGAAAUUUACAUAUAUGUACGUGCAAUCGGGAUUUAUAAUUAUAAAGCUAGUUAAUAGUAGGCUCAUUUCCUUUUUUCUAAAUCGACGUUACUAAUGUUAAACUUAUAUUGACUUUUUAUCAAUUGUUUUGUCUUUCAUUUUUCGUUGAUUAUUUUCAUUUCGUUAUUUUACCAAAUAUAUAGUUGGCAAGUUUUUACAUCUUCUCCCCUGUUAAUAUUUCCAGAACUAUUAUGAUUAAUGGAAAUACGAUUACAAAGGAGACACAAGGGUCAACGUCGA